rnacentral:miRNA from 2 species
UCAGCUCCAGCGCUGAUCAGUG